rnacentral:rRNA from 1 species
GAUGAACGCUGGCGGCGUGCCUAAUACAUGCAAGUCGAGCGAACAGACGAGGAGCUUGCUCCUUUGACGUUAGCGGCGGACGGGUGAGUAACACGUGGAUAACCUACCUAUAAGACUGGGAUAACUUCGGGAAACCGGAGCUAAUACCGUAUAACAUGUUGAACCGCAUGGUUCAACAGUGAAAGACGGCCUUGCUGUCACUUAUCGAUGGAUCCGCGCCGCAUUAGCUAGUUGGUAAGGUAACGGCUUACCAAGGCAACGAUGCGUAGCCGACCUGAGAGGGUGAUAGGCCACACUGGAGGUGAGACGCGGUCCAGACUCCUACGGGAGGCAGCAGUAGGGAAUCUUCCGCAAUGGGCGAAAGCCUGACGGAGCAACGCCGCGUGAGUGAAGAAGGUCUUCGGAUCGUAAAACUCUGUUAUUGGGGAAGAACAAAUGUGUAAGUAACUAUGCACGGCGUGACGGUACCUAAUCAGAAAGCCACGGCUAACUACGUG